CGGGAUGUAGCGCAGUUUGGUAGCGCGUUUGACUGGGGGUCAAAAGGUCGCUGGUUCGAAUCCAGUCAUCCCGACCA
rnacentral:tRNA from 1 species